ACACCAGCCUGAUGAACAUGGAGAAACCCCAUCUCUACUAAAAAUACAAAUAUUAGCUGGGCGUUGUGGCGCACGCCUGUAAUCCCAGCGACUCACGAGGCUGAGGCAGGAGAAUUGCUUGAACUCAGGAGGCAGAGGUUGCAGUGAGCCAAGAUUGUGCCAUUGCACUCCAGCCUGGGCAACAAGAGUGAAACUCUGUCUCAAAAAAAAAAAAAAAAAAACCCUCAGAAAACAAUUAAAAUGCAAAGCAGCAGAUAAGUUCAGAUGGCGAGAGUUACAGCAGCAAUACAAGAGGGAUAAUGAGUGCAGGAGGGAAAUAGGAGUAAGUUCCAAAGAAGCAGGAUUUGCUUGGGUUGUUUGAAGGGAACUGCUUCUACCCAUAGUUGUCUUCCUGCCGCCUCCUUCAUUCGGCUUACUUGUUCUCUUUUUCUUUACCCUUUUUGUCACAACUGUACUGAUUUAGUUGGAUUUCUAACAAAUAGGGAUUGUUGUUGCCUGGGGUCUUUCAGCUGUUGAAAGUUCUUGUUUAUCUAGAUGUGACUUAAAAAAUGAAACACUUCAAGAAUUUACGUGUCAUUCUUGGCACAGGGGCCAUGCUAAUCUUGAUUGUUUGAAUUUUUAAUAUUUUUGCUAACAAAAUGAGCCCUAGAUGUGAUUUUUUUUUUUAAUGUGUACUCAUGGUCCCUUGAACAUUAGUGUUACUGGUUAGGUAUUUAAAGAUUUUCUUGCCGAGCGUGGUGGCUCACACCUGUAAUCUGUAAUCUCAGCACUUUGGGGCUGAGGUGGGAGGAUUACUUGAGCCCAGGAGUUUGAAAGUAGCGUGGGUAACGUAGGGAAGAGACCUUGUCUCUACAAAUAAUUUUUUUUUUUUUUUUUGAGGCAGAGUCUCUCUCUGUCAUCCAGGCUGGAGUGCAGUGGUGUGAUCUCGGCUCACUGCAAGCUCCGCGUCCUGGGUUCAUGCCAUUCUCCAGACUCAGCCUCCCGAGUAGCUGGGACUACAGGCACCCGCCACCAUGCCUGGCUAAUUGUUUGUAUUUUUAGUAGAGAUGGGGUUUCGCCACGUUAGCUAGAAUGGUCUCGAUCUCCUGACCUCGUGAUCUGCCUGCUUCGGCCUCCCAAAGUGCUGGGAUUACAGGCAUGAGCCACUGCACCCGGCUUCUACAAAUAAUUUUAUGAGUAGCCUGGCAUGGUGGCGUGUGCCCAUGGUCCCAGCUACCUGAGAGGCUGAGGCAGGAGAAUCACCUGACCCCAAGAUAUCAAGGCUGCAGUGAGCUGUGAUUGUACCAUUGUGUUCCAGCCUGGGUGACAGAGCGAGACCCUGUCUCCUAAAAAAAAGUUGAGGACUCGAUCUUUUCGUUUAUAUUAUCAAUAUUUACUGUGCUAGAAAUUAAAACUUUAAAACUUAAAAAUACGUGUCUUCAUUAGUCAUCAGAAUGAUACCGUCACACAUCAUGUAACCUCAGGAAAAUUUCAUGUACACUCGAGAAAAAGACUGAUUUAAAAUAGCUUUAACCUCAUAGGCAGCAUGAAAAUAUCUCAGGUACUGCAGAGAUCUCUGGACCACUCGUUGAGAACUGCCGCUAUAGAUAUUUGUGUCCUGAGGGUUGUAACAGUCUUAGGGUUCUGUAUUCAGAAAUUUAAACAUUCCUUCACAAAACCUGAAAGUCAAGAUUUUGUUCGUUAUUCAUUAAGCCUCCUCCCUCCAU
rnacentral:lncRNA from 10 species